CGGAGAGGUCGUUCAAUACUGUCGAACUAGAGGACAUCAGAGGAGCAUGGAAUUUCCGGUGUAGCGGUAAAAUGCGCAGAUAUCGGAAGGAACACCAGUGGCGAAGGCGGUGCUCUGGGGUGGGCCUGACGCUGAGAGACGAAAGCUAGGGGAGCGAACAGGAUUAGAGACCCUGGUAGUCCUAGCCCUAAACGAUGGAUGCUAGGUGUGGGGCCGAGAAGGCUCUGUGCCGCAGUUAACGCGCUAAGCAUCCCGCCUGGGGAUUACGGCCGCAAGGCUAAAACUCAAACGAAUUGACGGGGCCCCGCACAAGCAGCGGAGCGUGUGGUUUAAUUCGAUGCUACACGAAGAACCUUACCUGGGUUUGACAUGUACGUGGUAGAGAAGCGAAAGCGGAUCGACCCUUCGGGGAGCGUACACAGGUGCUGCAUGGCUGUCGUCAGCUCGUGCCGUGAGGUGUCGGGUUAAGUCCCGUAACGAGCGCAACCCUUGCCCUUAGUUACAAGUGUCUAAGGGGACUGCCGGCGGUAAGCCGGAGGAAGGUGGGGAUGACGUCAAGUCAGCAUGGCCCUUAUAUCCAGGGCUACACACACGCUACAAUGGUCAGUACAAAGGGCAGCGAAGCCGCGAGGUGAAGCGAAUCCCAACAAAGCUGAUCUAAGUUCGGAUUGCAGGCUGCAACUCGCCUGCAUGAAGCUGGAGUUGCUAGUAACCGCGCGUCAGCUAUAGUGCGGUGAAUACGUUCCCGGGGCUUGUACACACCGCCCGUCACGUCAUGGGAGUCGG
rnacentral:rRNA from 1 species